rnacentral:rRNA from 1 species
GCUUACGGCCACACCACCCUGAACACGCCCGAUCUCGUCGUCUCGGAAGCUAAGCAGGGCCGGGCCUGGUUAGUACUUAUGGGAGACCGCUGGGAAUACCAGGUGCUGUAAGUU